rnacentral:rRNA from 1 species
UACGUAGGGGGCAAGCGUUGUCCGGAAUCAUUGGGCGUAAAGCGAGCGUAGGCGGCCCGAUAAGUCUGCUGUAAAAGUCAACGGCUCAACCGUUGAAAGCCGGUGGAUACUGUCGGGCUAGAGUUCGGAAGAGGCAAGUGGAAUUCCUGGUGUAGCGGUGGAAUGCGCAGAUAUCAGGAGGAACACCGGUGGCGAAGGCGGGAUCCUGGGCCAGUACUGACGCUGAGGAGCGAAAGCGUGGGGAGCAAACAGG